AAAGAAUCAGCAGGAAAUCAGUCUUACCAUGACUGUUGCUCUGUUCUACUUCUUCUUCCUCUCUCUGCAGGUCACAAACAGCCCUUCUGUCCAAGCAGUGAAACAGCUGCAUGGAGCAGCUGGAGAAGACAUCUCAGUGACAUGUGGCAUUACUUUCUCUGGAACAUGGAAGGUCUUCUGCAGGGAAGACUGUGCAGGAGGAAACAUUCUGAUUCAAACCCGGCGGCAUACAGCUCAAAUAGAACGAUACAGCAUCAAAUAUGUUAAAGAUAUUUUACCAGGUGCUUACAUUUUUUCUGUGAACAUCUCAAACCUACAUGAGUCUGACUCAGGACUGUACAGAUGUGGUUUGGGCGACUUCUUGUCUUCAGUGACCUACCAGGAUUUCAGACUUAUCGUUGGAGCGUCUGGCUCAUCAACCUCCAGUUCAGCUUCAGUUCAUUCAACCUUCACACCAACAGCCACACUGAGUUUUAGCAACAGUUCAGGAAGUCUCACACCUUCGCCUUCCUCUGAAACCACAAAUCUGUCAGUUCUGAGUGUGGAGGAGAUGCCAACAUCUAAAGAAAUGUCUGCAGAGCUUCUGCUGCUUGGUGGUCUGGUUGUCGUUGGCAUCCUGUUAUCUGGGGUGUUGCUGGUUUUCUGCACAAAACGGAGUCAUAAUCAUCGGA